rnacentral:guide_RNA from 1 species
AAAUCAAAACAUUCGAGUUUCAGCGAUAAAGAUGUAUGAUAU